AGACGCACACGUGAAAUCUUGAGGAGCCAGGGGUGAGUAUUUAACAAGCAUUGAGAGACAAAGGCUGCGCGAGUGCGUCACGUUUAAAUGCUUUGUCUGUAGUGGGAGACGCACGCGUGAAAUCUUGAGGAGCCAGGCGUGAGUAUUUAACAAGCAUUGAGAGACAAAGGCUGCGCGAGUGCGUCACGUUUAAAUGCGUUGUCUGUAGUGGGAGACGCAUGUGUGAAAUCUUGAGGAGCCAGGAGUGAGUAUUUAACAAGCAUUGAGAGACAAAGGCUGCGCGAGUACGUCACGUAUGGCAAGCCAAAGUGCUCACAAACGCCUGGUUGGGGCGUCUUAUUGCAUACUGACACGUGAAAAGCGUGCGAUUUAAUUAUUGAAUUGAAUUAAUGCUGGCGCCAAAAGCAUACAACCCACAAAAAGCAUACAACCCACACCGAUUAGCUUCUAAAAUCAUGGAAUUUGGAUUUUGUCACGGAGUGACUUCGACGGGGCGGAACCAAAGGGAGCAGGAAGAGGUUCCGCCCGGACCCGUUUGCACAAACACCGGCACUUUCUGGGUUUCCCGGGGAUCCCCGCAAUCACCCAAAAUGAGAGACAGCUGUACCAACAACGUGGCAAACAACGAUUGGGUGAGUCGCACUGGGGAAAGGUGUAUAUAAAGGGGAAUUAGAAGAGAUAGUGCAGUGUUCGGUUGCGUUGGACAGACGCUGGGAAUAUUCGCUGGGCUGAGUCGUGGACACCGAAAGACGGCAUUGGGCGAGCGCUGGAGACCUGCAAAGGAGAAACACAGUUAGAGUCAACAAAGGGUGAGCAUCGGAGUGAUAUGAACAUCUUAAACAUUCGGAUUACUGUUGUGUUUACAUAAAAGCCUGGGCGAGCCGUACCCACAGAGCUGUCUGCAUUGGAGGACACCAGGAAGAGGAGGAGAGAUUGAUUGGAGACAUCACAGUCGUGAGUAACCGCAAACAUUGGUGUAUGAAAAACUCGCACAUUGUUAAAGGAGUGUGUAUUCUGUUUACUAGCGGCCCCACCAGGUGUGAGACGGGUGGGUGAGCCGAAGGACAAGUGUUGUACUGGCAUCGGACAGCGAGGCCUCCAAGCCCGGGUGGGACAUCGUUGGCGUGGCAAUCUAGACCUUUUUCCCUUACCCAGAGCUGGUCUUGCCAAGAGAGGAGUACGGACCUUAAUUAUUCACUGGAGUGUGUGCUGUGCAGCGUGAGAGUGAUCUUUUGAUGUGAGUACACUAAGCUUUGUAGUGUGGUGCCGUGUCCUUGCUGUUUGUACUCCCCUCAAGGAGGAUUAGCCCUCUGCGGAAACCAUCAGGAGCCGCUACGCCGACACAGGCCCAGCCAAAUUCAACACGUCACGUAACUACGUCCUGUGGGAGCCAGCGGAAGCUACGAAGAAGAUCUUUGCCUGCCCUAGGAGAAAGGGAAGAGGACGUGUGGUCUCUGCCAGCCUGAAUUCACCGACAGCGAGGCGCCGUUGCGCCGGCCGCAGCCUAGAGCCAGGAGGGACCCCCGCCCCCGUGUCUUGCUACGAUAGAUGGAGGAGCUAGGAGCCCCAAGAAGUCCUUCCACGCAGGAAGUGGGCCAAGGACGAAGGAGCUCCACCCGGCCCUUGCCCUGCUAUCCCUUGGCCCUACGGAACCAGACUUCUCCCCUCCAAUGUCCCUUGCCCCGUAGUUCCCCCUGAGGGCGAGAAGAGAAAUUUUAGACUUCCCACCCCA